rnacentral:rRNA from 1 species
UACGUAGGGUCCGAGCGUUGUCCGGAAUUACUGGGCGUAAAGAGUUCGUAGGUGGUUUGUCGCGUUGUUCGUGAAAACUCACAGCUCAACUGUGGGCGUGCGGGCGAUACGGGCAGACUGGAGUACUGCAGGGGAGACUGGAAUUCCUGGUGUAGCGGUGGAAUGCGCAGAUAUCAGGAGGAACACCGGUGGCGAAGGCGGGUCUCUGGGCAGUAACUGACGCUGAGGAGCGAAAGCGUGGGGAGCGAACAGG